UACGGAGGGUGCAAGCGUUAUCCGGAUUUACUGGGUUUAAAGGGUGCGUAGGUGGGUUGGUAAGUCAGUGGUGAAAUCUUCGAGCUUAACUCGGAAACUGCCAUUGAUACUAUCAAUCUUGAAUAUCCUGGAGGUAAGCGGAAUAUGUCAUGUAGCGGUGAAAUGCUUAGAUAUGACAUAGAACACCCAUUGCGAAGGCAGCUUACUACGGGAUCAUUGACACUGAGGCACGAAAGCGUGGGGGAUCAAACAGG
rnacentral:rRNA from 1 species